rnacentral:rRNA from 1 species
UACAGAGGUCUCAAGCGUUGUUCGGAUUCAUUGGGCGUAAAGGGUGCGUAGGUGGCGCCGUUAGUCGGGUGUGAAAUUUCGGAGCUUAACUCCGAAACUGCAUUCGAUACUGCCGUGCUUGAGGACUGGAGAGGAGACUGGAAUUUACGGUGUAGCGGUGAAAUGCGUAGAUAUCGUAAGGAAGACCAGUGGCGAAGGCGGGUCUCUGGACAGUUCCUGACGCUGAGGCACGAAGGUCAGGGGAGCAAACGGG